rnacentral:rRNA from 1 species
CUACGGGGGGCAGCAGUGAGGAAUAUUGGUCAAUGGGCGCGAGCCUGAACCAGCCAUCCCGCGUGCAGGAUGACGGCCCUAUGGGUUGUAAACUGCUUUUCUAUGCCAAGAAACCUGAUUACGUGUAAUCAGUUGCCGGUAGCAUAGGAAUAAGCAUCGGCUAACUCCGUGCCAGCAGCCGCGGUAAUACGGAGGAUGCAAGCGUUAUCCGGAUUCAUUGUGGUGACAGGGUGCGCAGGUGGGCUUGUAAGUCAGUGGUGAAAUGCUGCCGCUUAACGGUAGAACUGCCAUUGAUACUGCGAGUCUUGAGUAUGGUUGAGGUAGGAGGAAUGUGUUGUGUAGCGGUGAAAUGCAUAGAUAUGACACAGAACGCCAAUUGCGAAGGCAGCUUACUAAGCCAUUACUGACGCUGAGGCACGAAAGCGUGGGGAGCGAACAGGAUUAGAUACCCCCGUAGUC